UGGUGGGUUGCCUUGUCAGGUUGAUUCCGGUAACGAACGAGACCUCAGCCUGCUAAAUAGUCACAGCCACCUCCUGGUGGCUGCGCUUGACUUCUUAGAGGGACUAUUGGCGUUUAGCCAGUGGAAGUGUGAGGCAAUAACA
rnacentral:rRNA from 1 species